GUCUACAGCCACGCCACCCUGAACAAGCCCGAUCCCGUCUGACCUCGGAAGCUAAGCAGGAACGGCCUGGUUAGUACUUGGAUGGGAGACCACCUAGGAAGACCAGGUGCUGUAGGCA
rnacentral:rRNA from 1 species